UACGUAGGGGGCUAGCGUUGUCCGGAUUUAUUGGGCGUAAAGAGCUCGUAGGUGGUUCGGUAAGUCGGAUGUGAAAUCUCCAGGCUCAACCUGGAGGGGUCAUUCGAUACUGCUAUGGCUAGAGUCCGGUAGGGGAGUGUGGAAUUCCCGGUGUAGCGGUGAAAUGCGCAGAUAUCGGGAGGAACACCGAUGGCGAAGGCAGCACUCUGGGCCGGUACUGACGCUGAGGAGCGAAAGCUAGGGGAGCGAACAGG
rnacentral:rRNA from 1 species